rnacentral:lncRNA from 1 species
UCAUGACACUAUUGACUCAAAUUGCAGAACUCACCUGAAAAGUUGUAACAGACUUGCAUGGCUUGGCUUUUGAGAAAAAUUGAAUUCGAUCGUCUGCCUUUGAUUAGAAAUGAUUACAAUCCUCCAGUGCAAUCACAUGUCUACGUGGUCUCUCGAUGUUUUGUUAUACACGUCUUUCGCCCCCGGAAAAUGAGAGCUGCUUGCGCCGAGACCCUCUUCACUCUCCUCGGCCUCAAUCUCCUCUGCCACGUCUUCAGCGCCGCCGACGCCUCCGCCAAACGGGGAUGCUCGGCGUUCGGGCAUAGCUGUUUCGGAGGCCACGGAAAGCGAUUCGACCCCGAGGCCAUGGAAGUCGGCGCGGGGGCCGCAGCGGCCAUGGCCGAUAUCCUCGACGACCAGACGGCCAGGGACAGGGACCGGAACAGCCGGGAUCAGGACCUGGGACUCUUGGCCGGCAUCGCCGCUCCCAGGGAUCUCGUCACCGCGUCUGGCAACUCUCAGAACAUUCUCAAGGCCUUAAUGGACUGCCAGGCCAUCAAGCAGAUGUGUGUGACGCAGGCUAUUGGGCUUUCGAAGAUCAAGCGACCAUCUGACACAUCAAGUUACAAUACGGAAUUCAGUGACAACUAUCAUUGA